rnacentral:rRNA from 1 species
UACGUAGGGGGCGAGCGUUGUCCGGAGUUACUGGGCGUAAAGCGCACGCAGGCGGUCCGGUAAGUUUGGAGUGACAAUUCUCGGCUUAACUGAGAAGGGUCUUUGAAGACUGCCGGACUUGAGGGCUCACGAGGGACACGGAAUUCCGGGUGGAGUGGUGAAAUGCGUAGAUAUCCGGAGGAACACCAAAGGCGAAGGCAGUGUCCUGGGGAGUACCUGACGCUCAGGUGCGAAAGCCAGGGGAGCAAACGG